GCGCGGCCUGUGCUGUAGCUGCCCCUAAACCUUCUAACAACAACAAUAACAAACCAAGUUCUUACAUCGUCACUGACCCAAGACCAACAGCAACCUAACCAUCAGUAUGAGUGAGGUCCACCAGUACACAUUUGUAACAAAAACCAAUCUUAAUUCUGAACAACGGCAACUUUUUGACUUGGUGAGAGCUACUGGUAUCAUCAUCCAUCCUCAGCUGUUCAAGACUAUAAUGGAUCUUCUUGCCCAGAACAUCCCACCACAUGCACUUAUCAAUCUUUUGCGGGAGCUAAGCUGCAAGAUACCAUUUGAAGAUGAUGUGAUUAAUGAAAACAUCUUGCAAGAUAAAAAUAUCAGUGGUAAUAAUUUAUAAAAUGUUGAUCAACUGAACUGGAUAUCUUUUGCAAGUAGGGAAAAUUCACAAGCUUGAUGGAAGAAAAUUAUGGAACAUUAGUUAUAGUACAAGCCUUGUAUUACAUUUGGUUAAUUGAACUUGAACUACUGAGAACUUGAUUAGACAUGUGGUCCACCCUCAGAACAGCACUUGGAGCACAUCUACUUGGCUUAAUUUGGCAUUUUCAAAUU